rnacentral:rRNA from 1 species
CCUACGGGAGGCAGCAGUGAGGAAUAUUGGACAAUGGACGAGAGUCUGAACCAGCAAAGUAGCGUGAAGGAUGACUGCCCUAUGGGUUGUAAACUUCUUUUAUAUGGGAAUAAAACGUUCCACGUGUGGGAUUUUGUAUGUACCAUAUGAAUAAGGAUCGGCUAACUCCGUGCCAGCAGCCGCGGUAAUACGGAGGAUCCGAGCGUUAUCCGGAUUUAUUGGGUUUAAAGGGAGCGUAGGUGGAUUGUUAAGUCAGUUGUGAAAGUUUGCGGCUCAACCGUAAAAUUGCAGUUGAAACUGGCAGUCUUGAGUACAGUAGAGGUAGGCGGAAUUCGUGGUGUAGCGGUGAAAUGCUUAGAUAUCACGAAGAACUCCGAUGGCGAAGGCAGUUCACUGGACUGCAACUGACACUGAGGCUCGAAAGUGUGGGUAUCAAACAGGAUUAGAUACCCCAGUAGUC